rnacentral:tRNA from 1 species
GGUCGUUUAGCUCAGUGGUAGAGCGUUCGGUUCACAUCCGAAAGGUCGGUGGUUCGAGUCCACCAACGACCA